rnacentral:tRNA from 1 species
UUAAUCCAUUGGCAGAAAAAUGCAAUAGACUUAGAUUCUAUCUACCCCUAA